rnacentral:sRNA from 1 species
AGCAGCCGCGGUAAUUCCAGCUCCAAUAGCGUAUAUUAAAGUUGUUGCAGUUAAAAAGCUCGUAGUUGAAUUUCGGGGUCAGUAGGUCGGUCGUGCCACAGGUAUGCACUGGUCUCACUGAUUCCUCCUUCCUGAUGAACCGUAAUGCCAUUAAUUUGGUGUUGCGGGGAGACUGGACUGUUACUUUGAAAAAUUAGAGUGUUUAAAGCAGGCUAACGCUUGAAUACAUUAGCAUGGAAUAACGGAAUAGGACGUUCGAUCUUACUUUGUUGGUUUCUAAGAUUGACGUAAUGAUUAAUAGGGAUAGUUGGGGGCAUUAGUAUUCAAUUGUCAGAGGUGAAAUUCUUGGAUUUAUGAAGACUAACUACUGCGAAAGCAUUUGCCAAGGAUGUUUUCAUUAAUCAAAGAACG